rnacentral:tRNA from 1 species
GGCCUCGUGGCCAAAUGGAUAAUGUGUCUGACUACGGAUCAGAAGAUUCCAGGUUCGAGUCCUGGCGGGGUCG